UACGUAGGGUGCAAGCGUUAAUCGGAAUUACUGGGCGUAAAGCGUGCGCAGGCGGUUUUGUAAGACCGAUGUGAAAUCCCCGGGCUCAACCUGGGAACUGCAUUGGUGACUGCAAGGCUCGAGUGUGUCAGAGGGAGGUGGAAUUCCGCGUGUAGCAGUGAAAUGCGUAGAUAUGCGGAGGAACACCGAUGGCGAAGGCAGCCUCCUGGGAUAACACUGACGCUCAUGCACGAAAGCGUGGGGAGCAAACAGG
rnacentral:rRNA from 1 species